rfam:Xiphophorus maculatus strain JP 163 A Contig12105.1, whole genome shotgun sequence.
UCACUCUUGUUUCUCUUCAAAGCGUAUAAAUCUUUCGCCUUUUACUAAAGAUUUCCGUGGAGAGAAACAACAAGAGUUUAUUGUAAUUUUUGAAAUCCUGCCUUUUGGUGGGCA